rnacentral:rRNA from 1 species
UGGGGAAUUUUGGACAAUGGGCGCAGGCCUGAUCCAGCCAUGCCGCGUGUCUGAAGAAGGCCUUCGGGUUGUAAAGGACUUUUGUCAGGGAAGAAAAGGAUAGGGUUAAUACCCCUGUCUGAUGACGGUACCUGAAGAAUAAGCACCGGCUAACUACGUGCCAGCAGCCGCGGUAAUACGUAGGGUGCGAGCGUUAAUCGGAAUUACUGGGCGUAAAGCGGGCGCAGACGGUUACUUAAGCAGGAUGUGAAAUCCCCGGGCUCAACCUGGGAACUGCGUUCUGAACUGGGUGACUAGAGUGUGUCAGAGGGAGGUAGAAUUCCACGUGUAGCAGUGAAAUGCGUAGAGAUGUGGAGGAAUACCGAUGGCGAAGGCAGCCUCCUGGGAUAACACUGACGUUCAUGCCCGAAAGCGUGGGUAGCAAACAGGAUUAGAUACCCUGGUAGUCCACGCCCUAAACGAUGUCGAUUAGCUGUUGGGCAGCUUGACUGCUUAGUAGCGAAGCUAACGCGUGAAAUCGACCGCCUGGGGAGUACGGUCGCAAGAUUA